rnacentral:rRNA from 1 species
CCUACGGGGCGCAGCAGUGAGGAAUAUUGGUCAAUGGACGAGAGUCUGAACCAGCCAAGUAGCGUGAAGGAUGACUGCCCUAUGGGUUGUCAACUUCUUUUAUAUAGGAAUAAAAUGUUCCACGUGUGGGAUUUUGUAUGUCCCAUAUGAAUAAGGAUCGGCUAACUCCGUGCCAGCAGCCGCGGGAAUACGGAGGAACCGAGCGUUAUCCGGAUGUAUUGGGUUUAAAGGGAGCGUAGGUGGAUUGUUAAGGUAGUUGUGAAAGUUUGCGGCUCAACCGUAAAAUUGCAGUUGACACUGGCAGUCUUGAGUACAGUAGAGGUGGGCGGAAUUCGUGGGGUAGCGGUGAAAUGCUUAGAUAUCACGAAGAACUCCGAUUGCGAAGGCAGCUCACUGGACUGCAACUGACACUGAGGCUCGAAAGUGUGGGUAUCAAACAGGAUGAGAUACCCGAGUAGUC